rnacentral:lncRNA from 1 species
UUGAAAAUAUAUUGCUCAAAUCAUCUUGUAUUUAGGAAGGAACAUAUGAUCAGUGAAUAUUCAUGUAAUCGAUUUCAAUUUGUUUUGAAAUGAGACAUACCAUUUGUAGGGGGGUGCGCGGAUUUGUAGGUAUAAUAGAUUUGGUACAUAUUUGUAGUGAAUCUAUUUUUAUUUAGUGCGUGGAUGUUAUCUUUUAAUAAUUUACUUUUUUCGUAAGAUAUAUUCAUUAAUUAUUUUAUCCUGUAGUAAUUACAGAGUUACAAAUUCUUGUAUAAUAAUUUAUUCUAUCUGUGCUAUAAUAUAUAUCUAAUUCUAGAUUUUCAAUGUUAUUUAUUAUUUUAUGUUGUUCUUCUCGUAGUGAGUUUUUUAAAUUAUAUAAACUAUCAC